rnacentral:tRNA from 2 species
CGCGGGGUGGAGCAGCUCGGUAGCUCGCUGGGCUCAUAACCCAGAGGUCCCAGGUUCAAAUCCUGGCCCCGCUACCA